UGCCAGCAGCCGGGUAAUACGGAGGGGGUUAGCGUUGUUCGGAAUUACUGGGCGUAAAGCGCGCGUAGGCGGAUUGGAAAGUUGGGGGUGAAAUCCCGAGGCUCAACCUCGGAACUGCCUCCAAAACUCCCAGUCUAGAGUUCGAGAGAGGUGAGUGGAAUUCCAAGUGUAGAGGUGAAAUUCGUAGAUAUUUGGAGGAACACCAGUGGCGAAGGCGACCACCUGGUCCGGUACUGACGCUGAGGUGCGAAAGCGAGGGGAGCAAACAGGAUUAGAUA
rnacentral:rRNA from 1 species